GCCUUCGUGGUGUAAUGGACAGCACACUGAGCCGGUAAUUCAGAGGUCCGUGGUUCGAUUCCCGGCGAAGGCC
rnacentral:tRNA from 1 species